ensembl:lncRNA
GUCUGAAGCAAGUCUUUGUCCAUCGCUGUGUCUUCUGCCCUCUCGGUCUUUUUAGACUUUUUAUGGAAAUGAACAGAAUAUGAAACAGAAUGAAUGAAAGGACGAAUAGAGAAAACACAUUUGUAUAGCACAUAGAGCCCUUUUCAACAAUGAACUAUUAAAGUUCAAAAAUGAACUAAAAAAUGUAAAUUUGGUUGCCAAAUGCCAACACAAAGCAUGUGAACUAUACACAAAGUUGACAGGUCAACAAAACAAAACAGGAAAGGAAAUUUAAAAUAAGUUCGAAAGUACACUGGGCUAGUGUACUAGAGUAAUAGUGUACUAUUAGUGGACUUAAUGCUUCGAAAGUACACUGGGCUCAUUAAACCAGGCUUCGACAGUACACUGGGCUCAUUACACCGGGCUUCGACAGCACACCGAGCUUCGACAGCACACUGGGCUUCGACAGUUCACCAGGCUUCGACAGCACACUGAGCUUUGACAGCACACUGAGCUUCAACAGUGCACCGGGAUUGACAGUACAUGGAGGUUCGACAGUGCACCGGGAUUGACAGUACAUGGAGCUUUGACAACACACUGAGCUUCGACAGUACACCGGGUUUCGACAGUUAACUGAGCUAAGGUCUCCCCAAGUUUUGUCAGAGUGACUAAAAACAGCACAGAAAUGCUUGCAUGGUAAGAACGUUGUAAUGUACCGAGCUCUACUCUGUACCUGCAGAGGUUGUCUCACACUUUACCAAGAAAGAUUCCUUUCCAAGUACCCCGACAUGCUCUUUUAUAUAGAUGGAACCUGCUUGGAUAGUGUUUAAGCAAUGUUUGACAAAACUCCUGGGUCUGUCUCUCAGGAACAUUGGAACAUCUGGAUUGCAGGUCUUGUAGAUGAACGACAGUAGAUGAAGUUGAGUCUACUGUAGGAUAGCAACUGUUCUGAGAUGAACUUGCAUAUAACAGUUUCAAGCAGAGAUGAAAGACUUUCUGUUCCAGAAAAUUUGAUAGAAGCUCUUAAUGAUUUAUUGAGAGCCACAACUCCAUUGUUGGUGGUAAC